ACGACAUUGUCAUAUUAUUAAUUUAUGUUAAAAAAAAAUAUAUUUUUAGGAGUAUCCAUUUAAAAUGAAUUAAGAACAAGUGAUAGAAUGUAAUUUUGCACUCGAUAAUGUCCGCGUAUUUAUUAUUAUCAUGGAUUUAGAUCGGUUACAAUCUCAAAACGAAGGUUACGUAAUGGAAAUUUAGGCUACAGCAAUACACAUGAAUGCCCA
rnacentral:lncRNA from 1 species